rnacentral:tRNA from 1 species
GGAGAGUUGGCUGAGUGGUCGAAGGCGCACGAUUGGAAAUCGUGUGUGCGUGAUGAGCGCACCUAGGGUUCAAAUCCCUAACUCUCCGCCA